rnacentral:rRNA from 1 species
GAUGAACGCUGGCGGCGUGCCUAAUACAUGCAAGUCGAGCGAACGGACGAGAAGCUUGCUUCUCUGAUGUUAGCGGCGGACGGGUGAGUAACACGUGGAUAACCUACCUAUAAGACUGGGAUAACUUCGGGAAACCGGAGCUAAUACCGGAUAAUAUUUUGAACCGCAUGGUUCAAAAGUGAAAGACGGUCUUGCUGUCACUUAUAGAUGGAUCCGCGCUGCAUUAGCUAGUUGGUAAGGUAACGGCUUACCAAGGCAACGAUGCAUAGCCGACCUGAGAGGGUGAUCGGCCACACUGGAACUGAGACACGGUCCAGACUCCUACGGGAGGCAGCAGUAGGGAAUCUUCCGCAAUGGGCGAAAGCCUGACGGAGCAACGCCGCGUGAGUGAUGAAGGUCUUCGGAUCGUAAAACUCUGUUAUUAGGGAAGAACAUAUGUGUAAGUAACUGUGCACAUCUUGACGGUACCUAAUCAGAAAGCCACGGCUAACUACGUGCCAGCAGCCGCGGUAAUACGUAGGUGGCAAGCGUUAUCCGGAAUUAUUGGGCGUAAAGCGCGCGUAGGCGGUUUUUUAAGUCUGAUGUGAAAGCCCACGGCUCAACCGUGGAGGGUCAUUGGAAACUGGAAAACUUGAGUGCAGAAGAGGAAAGUGGAAUUCCAUGUGUAGCAGUGAAAUGCGCAGAGAUAUGGAGGAACACCAGUGGCGAAGGCGACUUUCUGGUCUGUAACUGACGCUGAUGUGCGAAAGCGUGGGGAUCAAACAGGAUUAGAUACCCUGGUAGUCCACGCCGUAAACGAUGAGUGCUAAGUGUUAGGGGGUUUCCGCCUCUUAGUGCUGCAGCUAACGCAUUAAGCACUCCGCCUGGGGAGUACGACCGCAAGGUUGAAACUCAAAGGAAUUGACGGGGACCCGCACAAGCGGUGGAGCAUGUGGUUUAAUUCGAAGCAACGCGAAGAACCUUACCAAAUCUUGACAUCCUUUGACAACUCUAGAGAUAGAGCUUUCCCCUUCGGGGGACAAAGUGACAGGUGGUGCAUGGUUGUCGUCAGCUCGUGUCGUGAGAUGUUGGGUUAAGUCCCGCAACGAGCGCAACCCUUAAGCUUAGUUGCCAUCAUUAAGUUGGGCACUCUAAGUUGACUGCCGGUGACAAACCGGAGGAAGGUGGGGAUGACGUCAAAUCAUCAUGCCCCUUAUGAUUUGGGCUACACACGUGCUACAAUGGACAAUACAAAGGGCAGCGAAACCGCGAGGUCAAGCAAAUCCCAUAAAGUUGUUCUCAGUUCGGAUUGUAGUCUGCAACUCGACUACAUGAAGCUGGAAUCGCUAGUAAUCGUAGAUCAGCAUGCUACGGUGAAUACGUUCCCGGGUCU